CACAGCAGCACAGCACUGAUCCCGCAUGGUGGAAGAAAGUUGACGGAAAAAUUAUAAUUUUAUUGAAAGAUAGAUAAAAACUGAUGACUGAUGAUUGAUGAUUGAUGAUUGAUGACUGAUGAUUGAUCGAUGACUGGACAUCGCCUAUAACGCAUGAAGGUAGUUCGGAAGACACUAUACUGUGAAAAUAUUGAAUAUAUCCGUCGUGCGCAGACACUCGGCGACGGUGUACAAACG